rnacentral:misc_RNA from 1 species
UACGAGUGCCCCAAGCGUUACCCGGAAUUACUGGGCGUAAAGGGUGUGUAGGCGGUUGUGUUAGUCUUCUGUUAAAACGUGGGGCUCAACCUCACGAUCGCGGGGGAAACGGCACAACUCGAGGGUGCGAGAGGUAAGCGGAACUCACGGUGUAGGGGUGAAAUCCGUUGAUAUCGUGGGGAACACCAAAAGCGAAGGCAGCUUACUGGCGCAUUCCUGACGCUGAGACACGAAAGCCAGGGUAGCGAACGGG